AGUAUGAAAUAGAUGAGUAUACCCUCAUAUCGUUUUCUAAUGUGUACGACAUCUAUAGGGAAUUUGCAUAACUAAUCUGUGUAAACAUUGGGAGCCAUUUUGUUACUCAGAGAACCCAAGUAAGGUGUCUGAGUUUAACGGAAACAAUUGGGAAAUAAUUAGGACAAAUGGAUGGUAAUGAGUUGCAUAUGAAGAAAAGAUAUCAAGAUGUAUUGAAGAUGCAAUAAAGUACCACAAAAGGC